UACAGAGGUCUCAAGCGUUGUUCGGAUUCAUUGGGCGUAAAGGGUGCGUAGGCGGCGCGGUAAGUCGGGUGUGAAAUCUCGGGCUUAACUCCGAACUGCAUUCGAUACUGCCGUGCUUGAGGACUGGAGAGGAGACUGGAAUUUACGGUGUAGCGGUGAAAUGCGUAGAUAUCGUAAGGAAGACCAGUGGCGAAGGCGGGUCUCUGGACAGUUCCUGACGCUGAGGCACGAAGGCCAGGGAGCAAACGGG
rnacentral:rRNA from 1 species